rnacentral:rRNA from 2 species
GAUGAACGCUGGCGGCGUGCCUAAUACAUGCAAGUCGAACGAGUUCUGAUUAUUGAAAGGUGCUUGCAUCUUGAUUUAAUUUUGAACGAGUGGCGGACGGGUGAGUAACACGUGGGUAACCUGCCCUUAAGUGGGGGAUAACAUUUGGAAACAGAUGCUAAUACCGCAUAAAUCCAAGAACCGCAUGGUUCUUGGCUGAAAGAUGGCGUAAGCUAUCGCUUUUGGAUGGACCCGCGGCGUAUUAGCUAGUUGGUGAGGUAACGGCUCACCAAGGCAAUGAUACGUAGCCGAACUGAGAGGUUGAUCGGCCACAUUGGGACUGAGACACGGCCCAAACUCCUACGGGAGGCAGCAGUAGGGAAUCUUCCACAAUGGACGCAAGUCUGAUGGAGCAACGCCGCGUGAGUGAAGAAGGCUUUCGGGUCGUAAAACUCUGUUGUUGGAGAAGAAUGGUCGGCAGAGUAACUGUUGUCGGCGUGACGGUAUCCAACCAGAAAGCCACGGCUAACUACGUGCCAGCAGCCGCGGUAAUACGUAGGUGGCAAGCGUUAUCCGGAUUUAUUGGGCGUAAAGCGAGCGCAGGCGGUUUGAUAAGUCUGAAGUUAAAGGCUGUGGCUCAACCAUAGUUCGCUUUGGAAACUGUCAAACUUGAGUGCAGAAGGGGAGAGUGGAAUUCCAUGUGUAGCGGUGAAAUGCGUAGAUAUAUGGAGGAACACCGGUGGCGAAAGCGGCUCUCUGGUCUGUAACUGACGCUGAGGCUCGAAAGCGUGGGGAGCGAACAGG